GAUGAACGCUGGCGGCAUGCCUAACACAUGCAAGUCGAUCGGUAAGGCUCUUCGGAGUCCCCGCUAGGCGGACGGCUGAGUAACGCGUAGGAACACACACUGCCGUGCGGGAUAAGUCACCGAACGUCGUUCUAAUACAGCAUACGGCCUUCGGUUUAAAGCAUUUAUGCGCUGAAGGAGUGGCCUGCGUCAUAUUAGAUCGUUAGUAAGGUAAUGGCUCACCAAAUCGAGGAUGUGUAGUUGGUCUGAGAGGAUGGGCAGACAGACCGGCACUGAGACACAGUACAGACUCCUACGCGAGGCAGCAGUGCGUGAUAGAGCACAAUGAGCUGAGGCAUGAUGGAGCAAUGCCGCGUACACGAUGAAAGUCGUCGAGUUGUAAUCUGCUUGUAUAUAUGAAGAUUAUGACGGUAACUUAUGAGUAAGCGACGGCUAACUACGUG
rnacentral:rRNA from 1 species